rnacentral:rRNA from 1 species
GAUGAACGCUGGCGGCGUGCCUAAUACAUGCAAGUCGAGCGAACAGAUGAGAAGCUUGCUUCUCUGAUGUUAGCGGCGGACGGGUGAGUAACACGUGGGUAUCCUACCUAUAAGACUGGGAUAACUCCGGGAAACCGGGGCUAAUACCGGAUAAUAUUUUGAACCGCAUGGUUCAAUAGUGAAAGACGGUUUCGGCUGUCACUUAUAGAUGGACCCGCGCCGUAUUAGCUAGUUGGUAAGGUAACGGCUUACCAAGGCGACGAUACGUAGCCGACCUGGGAGGGUGAUCGGCCACACUGGAAAUGAGACACGGUCCAGACUCCUACGGGAGGCAGCAGUAGGGAAUCUUCCGCAAUGGGCGAAAGCCUGACGGAGCAACGCCGCGUGAGUGAUGAAGGUCUUCGGAUCGUAAAACUCUGUUGUUAGGGAAGAACAAAUUUGUUAGUAACUGAACAAGUCUUGACGGUACCUAACCAGAAAGCCACGGCUAACUACGUGCCAGCCGCCGCGGUAA